UACGAAGGGGGGCUAGCGUUGCUCGGAAUCACUGGGCGUAAAGCGCACGUAGGCGGCUUUCUAAGUCAGGGGUGAAAUCCUGGAGCUCAACUCCAGAACUGCCUUUGAUACUGGCGAUCUCGAGUCCGGGAGAGGUGAGUGGAACUGCGAGUGUAGAGGUGAAAUUCGUAGAUAUUCGCAAGAACACCAGUGGCGAAGGCGGCUCACUGGCCCGGUACUGACGCUGAGGUGCGAAAGCGUGGGGAGCAAACAGG
rnacentral:rRNA from 1 species